rnacentral:rRNA from 1 species
UGAGAGGAUGAUCCGCCACACUGGGACUGAGACACGGCCCAGACUCCUACGGGAGGCAGCAGUGGGGAAUUUUGGACAAUGGGCGCAAGCCUGAUCCAGCCAUGCCGCGUGAGUGAAGAAGGCCUUCGGGUUGUAAAGCUCUUUUCGGCCGGGAAGAAAUCGUGGUCUCUAACAUAGGCCAUGGAUGACGGUACCGGACUAAGAAGCACCGGCUAACUACGUGCCAGCAGCCGCGGUAAUACGUAGGGUGCGAGCGUUAAUCGGAAUUACUGGGCGUAAAGCGUGCGCAGGCGGUUUUGUAAGACAGAUGUGAAAUCCCCGGGCUUAACCUGGGAACUGCGUUUGUGACUGCAAGGCUAGAGUACGGCAGAGGGGGGUGGAAUUCCUGGUGUAGCAGUGAAAUGCGUAGAGAUCAGGAGGAACACCGAUGGCGAAGGCAGCCCCCUGGGCCUGUACUGACGCUCAUGCACGAAAGCGUGGGGGAGCU